AUUGAACGCUGGCGGCAGGCUUAACACAUGCAAGUCGAGCGGUAACACUUCGGGUGACGAGCGGCGGACGGGUGAGUAAUACAUAGGAAUCUGCCUAGUAGUGGGGGAUAACGUAGGGAAACUUACGCUAAUACCGCAUACAUCCUACGGGGGAAAGCAGGGGAUCUUCGGACCUUGCGCUAUUAGAUGAGCCUAUGUCGGAUUAGCUAGUUGGUGAGGUAAAGGCUCACCAAGGCGACGAUCCGUAGCUGGUCUGAGAGGAUGAUCAGCCACACUGGGACUGAGACACGGCCCAGACUCCUACGGGAGGCAGCAGUGGGGAAUAUUGGACAAUGGGCGCAAGCCUGAUCCAGCCAUGCCGCGUGUGUGGAGAAGGCCUUAGGGUUGUAAAGCACUUUCAUUGGGGAGAAAGGCUGUUUGGUUAAUACCCAAGCAGAUUGAUGUUACCCAAAGAAGAAGGACCGGCUAACUACCGUGCCAGCAGCCGACGG
rnacentral:rRNA from 1 species